AAAGAAAUUCUCUGAAAAGUCACAACACAACCAGUGUUGGCAGAAUUUACUGUUCCUCUGUGGAUCUAGUGAUUUUAUAACAUUUUCAUGGAGACCUGAGGGGAAACUUCCAGCACUUCCAAUCGUCUUACACACAAAAUGUCUGCCGCCUCCCCUGACUGACAGUGGUUUGGAAGCCAACAAAACAACUGUGUUUUCACAGUGGGUGAAAACAAGCAGAGAGAACAACAACAGAGAAAAACAACAGGAGAACAAGGGAGGAGGCAGCCACAGGAAACCAGCAGAUAUUUACUGACCCACUGAGUACGUGUAUCAAAUGGAACCUGAAUGUUGACUGAGGAGAAAGAUGGGACCAGCAGGAAGAAGAGCAAGGAAGCGGGUUCCCAAAGUGUUGCGAUCCGUUGCCUCUGACAGUCCCGUGCUUGAAGGAAACCAGAACACAGUGCGAAACAUGGAUAAACUAUCUAUUUCUGAACUGUUCGAGGUCAUCAAACAAAACCAAAAAGCGUCUCACAAAAUUUCCAUCUGGAAGCAAGAAUUGGCUGAGCUGGAUGCACAAACCCUGUCAAGCCUUCCCUUAAGUCUCGCCAGGAUAUUAACUUUGAAAUAAAGCCUAGUUUUUCUGA